GAUGUAGACAUAUAAGAAGAGGAGUCAACCAAAGGAGAUAUUUUUGUGUACAGGCAGAAGGCAUCACGGACUGGCAAGACAGCAGAGGUGCUACGGGAGAUCCUUGAGGCUUAUGACCUUCAGGAGGAAGAGGAGCCAGAUUUUGAUGAUGCUCCUGUUGCUCUCCUUACAUCGGGUCCCGACCCCUUCAGCUGCGAGAACAUCUUUGAAUUGGGUGCAGAGGUUUUCUGAGGCAUUUAUGUUGUUGUUUGGCCUGACAUAUGCUUUCAAUUUAGAAUAUCCCAAAAAACUCACGCACACAUUCUCAUACAG
ensembl:lncRNA